GGGCCGGUAGAUCAGUCUGGAAUGAUCGCCGCCUUGGCAUGGCGGAGGCCCGGGGUUCAAAUCCCCGCCGGUCCA
rnacentral:tRNA from 1 species